rnacentral:rRNA from 1 species
CCUACGGGUGACAGCAGUGAGGAAUAUUGGUCAAUGGACGCAAGUCUGAACCAGCCAUGCCGCGUGCAGGAAGACUGCUCUAUGAGUUGUAAACUUCUUUUGUACGAGGGUAAACGCAGAUACGCGUAUCUUUCUGCAAGUAUCUUACGAAUAAGGAUCGGCUAACUCCGUGCCAGCAGCCGCGGUAAUACGGAGGAUUCAAGCGUUAUCCGGAUUUAUUGGGUUUAAAGGGUGCGUAGGCGGGUGGAUAAGUUAGUGGUGAAAGCCUGAGGCUCAACUUCGGAAUUGCCUUUGAUACUGUUAGGCUAGAGAGUAGUUGCGGUAGGCGGAAUGUAUGGUGUAGCGGUGAAAUGCUUAGAGAUCAUACAGAACACCGAUUGCGAAGGCAGCUUACCAAGCUAUUUCUGACGUUGAGGCACGAAAGCGUGGGGAGCAAACAGGAUUAGAUACCCCAGUAGUC